CUGAGACCUGAUGCCGAGCCGAUUGUGGUGAAGUGGAUGAUCCUAUGCUGUCGAGAAAAGCCUCUAGCGAGUUUCAUGGCGGCCCGUACCCUAAACCGACUCAGGUGGUCAGGUAGAGAAUACCGAGGCGUUCGGGUGAACUAUGGUUAAGGAACUCGGCAAAAUGCCCCCCGUAACUUCGGGAGAAGGGGGGGCCAGUCCUGGUGAUGAGCUUCGCGCUCUGAGCUGGGGGGUGGCCGCAGAGACCAGCGAGAAGCGACUGUUUACUAAAAAACACAGGUCCGUGCGAAGCCGUAAGGCGAUGUAUACGGACUGACGCCUGCCCGGUGCUGGAACGUUAAGGGGACCGGUUAGCUCAGAUUCGUCUGGGCGAAGCUGAGAACUUAAGCGCCAGUAAACGGCGGUGGUAACUAUAACCAUCCUAAGGUAGCGAAAUUCCUUGUCGGGUAAGUUCCGACCUGCACGAAUGGCGUAACGACUUCUCGACUGUCUCAACCAUAGGCCCGGUGAAAUUGCACUACGAGUAAAGAUGCUCGUUUCGCGCAGCAGGACGGAAAGACCCCGGGACCUUUACUACAGUUUGAUAUUGGUGUUCGGUUCGGCUUGUGUAGGAUAGCUGGGAGACUGUGAAGCCUGGACGCCAGUUCGGGUGGAGUCGUCGUUGAAAUACCAGUCUGGUCGUGCUGGAUGUCUAACCUGGGUCCGUGAUCCGGAUCAGGGACAGUGUCUGAUGGGUAGUUUAACUGGGGGGCGGUUGCCUCCUAAAGGGUAACGGAGGCGCCCAAAGGUUCCCUCAGCCUGGUUGGCAAUCAGGUGUUGAGUGUAAGUGCACAAGGGAGCUUGACUGUGAGACCGACGGGUCGAGCAGGGACGAAAGUCGGGACUAGUGAUCCGGCGGUGGCUUGUGGAAGCGCCGUCGCUCAACGGAUAAAAGGUACCCCGGGGAUAACAGGCUGAUCUUCCCCCCAAGAGUCCAUAUCGACGGGAUGGUUUGGCACCUCGAUGUCGGCUCGUCGCAUCCUGGGGGGGCUGGAGUCGGUCCCAAGGGUUGGGCUGUUCGCCCAUUAAAGCGGUACGCGAGCUGGGUUUAGAACGUCGUGAGACAGUUCGGUCCCUAUCCGCUGUGCGCGUAGGAGUCUUGAGAAGGGCUGUCCCUAGUACGAGAGGACCGGGACGGACGAACCUCUGGUGUGCCAGUUGUUCUGCCAAGGGCAUGGCUGGUUGGCUACGUUCGGGAGGGAUAACCGCUGAAAGCAUCUAAGCGGGAAGCCUGCUUCGAGAUGAGGCUCCCACCCACUUGAUGGGGGUAAGGCUCCCAGUAGACGACUGGGUUGAUAGGCCGGAUCUGGAAGCACGGUAACGUGUGGAGGUGACCGGUACUAAUAGGCCGAGGGCUUGUCCUC
rnacentral:rRNA from 1 species